GCAAGUGAGUGGUGCUGGGGUGCUGGGGAGGACUGUCCUGGCCAGCAGGGGCCUCCCAGCCUAGUAAUAAGGACACAGCAAUUACAGGAACUUCUAGAGCCAGUUCCCUUCAGGAGCGUGCCAGGCUGAGGCUUUGUCCUAUGGAGAAGCAGAAAAGGUCAGAGGAGGAGAAAGAAAGAGCCCUUCCCCAUCAAGGAGCCAGUGAGAGUGUGAGACAAAAGGAAACUCCAUGGAGGAAAACAUCAAGCAACUCCAGCGAAGCUGAUCUAGUCUUCAAAUACAUCAAUACUACAAAAGACUGGAAAGGGCAGAGGAAUUGCUCCAUAUCAGCGUCAUGACAGUACAAUCUACAACCCUGGACUGGAUCCUGUCUCUGAGAAAUUACCAACAGAGCAAAUGAAAUCGGAAUAGAGAGUACAGAUCAGAUGAAAGUACCAUCUGAAUGGGAGACUGCUGGAUUUAUGUGCUUGAGUGAGACUAUGUGCUUGCUCUUGUGAAGUGCGUGUAUAAUAUUAAAGCAUAGAGGGCUGGGUAUCUGCACUAUCUCUCAAAUGGGCUAAAUAAAAAGGUAUAUAUCAAGGAAUAGAAAGUUAUAAAGCAAACACAGGAAUCAUCAUCACAAAAGAAGAUAACAUGUGUAGCAAUGAGUGUUUUUUUCUUUUAUUUAAUUUUCUCCCACACAAGCAAUAUUGACAUUGAUAUGUAAGUGUAUAUUUCUGGAGUAUGAAAACUUUCAGUACUACUCAAAUCCUCCAUGUAAGGCAAGCAGUGAAAACAUUCUUUAGGGGUUGGUUGUCAACAUAUGUACAAAGGGCUAUCUAUAUCUCUUCCAGGAAGCAUAGUACUACAGGCUCCAGAGUUUUCUAUAUGAAUGCACAAACUUCUGCACUCAUGUGUAAUUGUAUCUUUUUGAUGGCAAUAGUAUCUAAGUAUUUGUCAUUUCCAUGUUUACUUUACUAAAGCUUUAAUGCAGAUACCAUAUUUUCUUUUCAUACUUUCUCGCUGGAGCAGUGUCUGAAGUGUGUAUUCUCAGCUAACAGACUCAGUGUGUGGGUUAUAGCAUUAACAUAAUAUGAAGAUGUGUGAUGUUUGUUUCCUGUUCUGCAGUGCAGCACCAAUGGAGAGGUCAGACAGAGGAGGACCUGAGUCCAAGACUGGACCAACUUGUGAGAGAAAAGCACUCAGAUAUGUCUGUAAAAUGAGAGGCAUUAGAGGUUUAAGUCCUAGGUUGACAUAAAGUUAAUCAACCCAGCUUUUAAUGGGUCUGUGAUACUCAGAUUGGGUUCAAUUGUAAAUUCCUCAUUAAACUUCUAUUUUUUAUAAGUCA